UACGGAGGGGGCUAGCGUUGUUCGGAAUUACUGGGCGUAAAGCGCACGUAGGCGGCUUUGCAAGUUAGAGGUGAAAGCCCGGGGCUCAACUGGGGAGGGUCACGCGAUACUGAUCGACUCGAAGGCAGGAGAGGGUAGUGGAAUUCCCGGUGUAGUGGUGAAAUGCGUAGAUAUCGGGAGGAACACCAGUGGCGAAGGCGACUACCUGGCCUGUUUCUUGACGCUGAGGCGCGAAAGCUAGGGGAGCAAACGGG
rnacentral:rRNA from 1 species